rnacentral:rRNA from 1 species
AGGAUCAUUACCGAGUGAGGGCCCUCUGGGUCCAACCUCCCACCCGUGUUUAUUUUACCUUGUUGCUUCGGCGGGCCCGCCUUAACUGGCCGCCGGGGGGCUUACGCCCCCGGGCCCGCGCCCGCCGAAGACACCCUCGAACUCUGUCUGAAGAUUGUAGUCUGAGUGAAAAUAUAAAUUAUUUAAAACUUUCAACAACGGAUCUCUUGGUUCCGGCAUCGAUGAAGAACGCAGCGAAAUGCGAUACGUAAUGUGAAUUGCAAAUUCAGUGAAUCAUCGAGUCUUUGAACGCACAUUGCGCCCCCUGGUAUUCCGGGGGGCAUGCCUGUCCGAGCGUCAUUGCUGCCCUCAAGCACGGCUUGUGUGUUGGGCCCCGUCCUCCGAUCCCGGGGGACGGGCCCGAAAGGCAGCGGCGGCACCGCGUCCGGUCCUCGAGCGUAUGGGGCUUUGUCACCCGCUCUGUAGGCCCGGCCGGCGCUUGCCGAUCAACCCAAAUUUUUAUCCAGGUUGACCUCGGAUCAGGUAGGGAUACCCGCUGAACUUAAGCAUAUCAAUAAGCGGAGGAAAAGAAACCAACAGGGAUUGCCCCAGUAACGGCGAGUGAAGCGGCAAGAGCUCAAAUUUGAAAGCUGGCUCCUUCGGGGUCCGCAUUGUAAUUUGUAGAGGAUGCUUCGGGAGCGGUCCCCAUCUAAGUGCCCUGGAACGGGACGUCAUAGAGGGUGAGAAUCC